AAAGGAAUAGACGGGGGCCCGCACAAGCAGCGGAGCGUGUGGUUUAAUUCGAUGCAACGCGAAAAACCUCACCAAGAUUUGACAUGUCGGAAGUCGUGAACCGAAAGGGGAGCUAACUGUUAAGCCAGUAGCCGUCACAGGUGCUGCAUGGCUGUCGUCAGCUCGUGCCGUGAGGUGUAUGGUUAAGUCCUGCAACGAGCGCAACCCUCGUGGCUAGUUGUUUUUUCUAGCCAGACUGCCUCGCAAAACGGGGAGGAAGGUGGGGAUGACGUCAAGUCAGCAUGGCCUUUAUAUCUUGGGCUACACACACGCUACAAUGGGUGGCACAAUAGGUUGCAACAGUGCGAACUGAAGCUAAUCCCCAAAGCCACCCUCAGUACAGAUUGCAGGCUGAAACCCGCCUGCAUGAAGGAGGAGUUGCUAGUAACCGCAAAUCAGCAUGUUGCGGUGAAUACGUUCUCGGGCCUUGUACACACCGCCCGU
rnacentral:rRNA from 1 species